rnacentral:rRNA from 1 species
CUGAAUGUGUAGUGUUUGCCAAUCCUUUGCCAAUCCUGUCAGCUCUUAGAAGCUAAGGAAAGCCAGACCUGCUUCAUACUUGGAUGGGCGACCACCUGGGAAGCUCCAAACUAGAUUAGGA